UUAGAUACCCCUGUAGUCCUAGCUGUAAACGAUGGACACUAGGUGUUGGCCGUAUCGACCCGGUCAGUAUCGAAGCAAACGCGUUAAGUGUCCCGCCUGGGGAGUACGCACGCAAGUGUGAAACUCAAAGGAAUUGACGGGGGCCCGCACAAGCGGUGGAGUAUGUGGUUUAAUUCGAUGCAACGCGAAGAACCUUACCAGGGAUUGACAUCCUACGAACUUUCGUGAAAGCGAUUGGUGCCUUCGGGAACGUAGAGACAGGUGGUGCAUGGCUGUCGUCAGCUCGUGUCGUGAGAUGUUGGGUUAAGUCCCGCAACGAGCGCAACCCUCGUCCUUAGUUGCCAUCAUUAAGUUGGGCACUUUAAGGAGACUGCCGGUGACAAACCGGAGGAAGGUGGGGAUGACGUCAAGUCAUCAUGCCCCUUACAUCCUGGGCUACACACGUACUACAAUGCAACGGACAAAGGGCAGCCAACUAGCGAUAGUGAGCUAAUCCCAUAAACCGUUGCUCAGUUCAGAUUGCAGGCUGCAACUCGCCUGCAUGAAGGCGGAAUCGCUAGUAAUCGCAGGUCAGCAUACUGCGGUGAAUACGUUCCCGGGCCUUGUACACACCGCCCGUCACACCAUGGAAGUUGGCCACGCCCGAAGUCGUUACCCCAACCGUUUACGGAGGGGGACGCCGAAGGCAGGGCUGAUGACUGGGGUGAAGUCGUAACAAGGUAACC
rnacentral:rRNA from 1 species